rnacentral:rRNA from 1 species
GACGAACGCGGCGGCGUGCCUAAUACAUGCAAGUCGAGCGGACUUCAUCCUUCGGGGUGAGGUUAGCGGCGGACGGGUGAGUAACACGUAGGCAACCUGCCCUCGAGACUGGGAUAACCUCCGGAAACGGAUGCUAAUACCAGAUACGCGGUCUUCCCACCUGGGGAGAUCGGGAAAGACGGAGCAAUCUGUUACUCGGGGAUGGGCCUGCGGCGCAUUAGCUAGUUGGUGAGGUAACGGCUCACCAAGGCGACGAUGCGUAGCCGACCUGAGAGGGUGAUCGGCCACACUGGGACUGAGACACGGCCCAGACUCCUACGGGAGGCAGCAGUAGGGAAUCUUCCGCAAUGGACGAAAGCCUGACGGAGCAACGCCGCGUGAGUGAGGAAGGCCCUCGGGUCGUAAAGCUCUGUUGCCAGGGAAGAACGCUUGGGAGAGUAACUGCUCUCAAGGUGACGGACCUGAGAAGAAAGCCCCG